UGGGGAAUAUUGCACAAUGGGCGCAAGCCUGAUGCAGCAACGCCGCGUGAACGAUGAAGGUCUUCGGAUCGUAAAGUUCUGUUGCAGGGGAAGAUAAUGACGGUACCCUGUGAGGAAGCCCCGGCUAACUACGUGCCAGCAGCCGCGGUAAUACGUAGGGGGCUAGCGUUAUCCGGAUUUACUGGGCGUAAAGGGUGCGUAGGUGGUCCUUCAAGUCGGUGGUUAAAGGCUACGGCUCAACCGUAGUAAGCCUCCGAAACUGGAAGACUUGAGUGCAGGAGAGGAAAGUGGAAUUCCCAGUGUAGCGGUGAAAUGCGUAGAUAUUGGGAGGAACACCAGUAGCGAAGGCGGCUUUCUGGACUGCAACUGACACUGAGGCACGAAAGCGUGGGUAGCAAACAGG
rnacentral:rRNA from 1 species